GAUGAACGCUGGCGGCGUGCCUAAUACAUGCAAGUCGAGCGAACAGAUAAGGAGCUUGCUCCUUUGACGUUAGCGGCGGACGGGUGAGUAACACGUGGGUAACCUACCUAUAAGACUGGGAUAACUUCGGGAAACCGGAGCUAAUACCGGAUAACAUUUGGAACCGCAUGGUUCUAAAGUGAAAGAUGGUUUUGCUAUCACUUAUAGAUGGACCCGCGCCGUACUAGCUAGUUGGUAAGGUAACGGCUUACCAAGGCGACGAUACGUAGCCGACCUGAGAGGGUGAUCGGCCACACUGGAACUGAGACACGGUCCAGACUCCUACGGGAGGCAGCAGUAGGGAAUCUUCCGCAAUGGGCGAAAGCCUGACGGAGCAACGCCGCGUGAGUGAUGAAGGGUUUCGGCUCGUAAAACUCUGUUAUUAGGGAAGAACAAACGUGUAAGUAACUGUGCACGUCUUGACGGUACCUAAUCAGAAAGCCACGGCUAACUACGUG
rnacentral:rRNA from 1 species